rnacentral:tRNA from 1 species
AAAUAAGAAGCAAUAAUUUUGCAUUUAGUUUCGACCUAAAAGUUUGGUUAAUUAAACCCUUAUUU